GAUGAACGCUAGCGGCAGGCUUAACACAUGCAAGUCGAGGGGUAUGCUUCUUCGGAAGCAGAGACCGGCGCACGGGUGCGUAACGCGUAUGCAAUCUACCUUUUACAGAGGGAUAGCCCAGAGAAAUUUGGAUUAAUACCUCAUAGUAUUAUAGAAUGGCAUCAUUUUAUAAUUAAAGUCACAACGGUAAAGAUGAGCAUGCGUCCCAUUAGCUAGNGGUAAGGUAACGGCUUACCAAGGCUACGAUGGGUAGGGGUCCUGAGAGGGAGAUCCCCCACACUGGUACUGAGACACGGACCAGACUCCUACGGGAGGCAGCAGUGAGGAAUAUUGGACAAUGGGCGCAAGCCUGAUCCAGCCAUGCCGCGUGCAGGAUGACGGUCCUAUGGAUUGUAAACUG
rnacentral:rRNA from 1 species